GUUUAAUCUCAAACACCUAUAUAAAUAGUGGUGGUUCAGAUGGAGAGGGAGGAGGGGGGGGGAGGAGAGGAAGGGGAGGGAAGAGAGGAAGCCCCAUGGUUUCCUGGUCCAAACUGGGAGCUAUUAACCAGUAAUGGGGGAUCCAGCUGAGCUCAAAGCACCCAGCUCAGACCUGAUGAUGGGGCAGAGGGCAGGAGGCGGGGAGGGGGAGGGUGGGAACAGAUUACCCAGAAAAGACCACACUUAGGAAAGGAAAGGAAGGGAGACUCUGGGAGCAGCAAGACAUGUUUCUUCUCAAGGUGAGCAGACCACAGGGUGCAGCAUUAAACGCCUAGACAAGUACUAGAAAAAGCCAUGGAGCCUGGAUCCCAUGGGCCCGGUUUUCGGUGGCAUUCAGGACAGGCAGACAGCAAAUCACAUUGAGUCACAUGCAGGAAAGCCUCCGGCCUCUUUUGGCCUUUUUGAUGACGUGGAGGAGGAGGUCUCAGUUCGGUACUUGUGUGUUUUUAACACUGAAAACUUAUCUAUGUCCCUAACAAAGAGACGCCCACCUCUGCCCAGCAUCCUGGAGGGGGCCUUAUCUCACCUGAAUCUGAGAAUCAGCUUUCACUAGGAACGAGCGCGGGGAACGGUGAUCUGGUCCUGUCCUCCCACUGCCUGGACUGGACAGCGAGGAACCACAGGUCAGAGGCAGGUCUGCUGCUGUUGGCACCUGCUUCUGCCCAAGCAGGUUUCCAGGAGGGCUCAGGCGGGACUGGGGUGGGUGGCGGGUGCGCAGGGGAUGGUCAGCUCCGGAAAGCUCGGCCUCGCAGGUUGGCAUGGCCACCUGUGAGCAAAUCUAAAACUGGCCCAAAGCUAUGCAGCCGAAGGGGCAGCUCUGGACCCAGCUGCUUCCCUGUCUCGGGGAGGACGGCGCUCAUGACGACAUUCGGCCAACCCCGCAGCAGCGCUGUGCUGUGGGUCCCAGGAGACGGCGGCGGAGGUGAAGGCGCUCUGGGAAUGCCGGGGCCAUGCACCCGAUCCUCUUGCUAAACCCCCAAACUCUCCUCAGCCUCCUUCCGGCCUUCAACAGCCGGGGUCCUGAGUGUCAAAGGUGCUAGAAGCUACGGUCUGGUGUCCAUGAGGGCUCCGUGGAGCAGGCCACUCCCAUUUCCACGGGGACCCAAACCAGGCUUGAUCUCCAGAGGGAAAAAGCCAGGACACAUGGCUAACGCGCCUUCCUCGAGGGGUGGUCUAGGCAUUCCUAAAUCCAAUCAAGCCCUGCAACCAAAAAUGUUAUUUUUGUACCUUUAAAUGCAAUGGCAUUUGGGGAAAUUAGUGGAAAAGGAGCUGCAAAGAGUCUACAAUUGUGUCAUGUGAAUGACUAAUUAGAGGGCUCUGGUUCUCCCCGGAUGUUCGCUUCCAUUAAUUCACAAUGUGACCUGUUUAUUUUGCAAGGUCGGGAAGAAGCCUUACCUCCUGGAAAGCCAAUGUGGCGAUUAAAUUAGAGUCACCAGAGUUUGCCCGAGGUAACUCAGGAGAAAGGCCUUGUGGACUGUACACAAACCGAAGUGACCUCUGUGUGGGUGUCCCCACUGCCCCCACUUGAGGGGAGGCAUAGUCACCUCCCUGGUAGAGGGAGGGGCCUGGGGAGGUGGAGAGGGCACUGGGAUCUGGGGCCACACACUGACUCCUGACUCUGCACUAAGCAAAGCACCGCAUCUCUGAGCACCUCCAGCUCUACCCUGUGUGGGGCCCACUGCACUCUUGCUAGGGAGGUGGUCUGCAUAUGUGUGCAUACGGGGGUGAUGAAAAAGACCAAGAGAGAAUGUCAACAUUUUUUCAGUUUUGAUUGCAGCCCCUGCAGGUGCUCAGAUGUGAAGAUACAGCCUCAACAAGUCCCGCCGCAAGGAAUUUGUAGCUAAACUUGGAAAUCAGACAUGGGAAUCAUCAGGUCCCCAGCCUGUUAGGGAGGCAUCUGUAGUCUGUAUCGAAGACAGCAGGGCAUCAAAGGGAGGGUCCAUUCGCCCCAGGGGCUGCAGAAAAGGUUCCUUAAGAACUGAGUUCUAGACUUUGGAGAACGCAAUUCUCCUCCUGAAUUC
ensembl:lncRNA